AUGUCAUUCUCUGUUAAGACUGUUGUUCUCACAGAUAUGGAUUUUUUGAUGACAGAGCUAGCUUAUAAACUUUUUAUCUUUUUAUGUAUGAUACAACAAGGAACAUAUGGAAUGCUUAUACAUUACAAUGCUUCUGCAACUGCUGUGGAGGGACAGAACGUCAGCCUGCAGUGCAUUGUGGAAGAGGAUCAAAACGUCACAAUUAUGCUGCUGGAAUGGAUUAAACAGCAAAAAGAAAAUGAGAAGAAUGAUCAGAAGAUUGUUGUGUUCCAUCCUAUGUUGCCAACAUAUUAUUUUCGAUCCGGUUCUCUUCUGGAGACAGUGACCAGUUCAAAAACUGGAAAGCUGCAGGGCUCUAUACUGACUCUGCAUGAAGUUACAGUGAAUGACAGUGGAGACUAUAUUUGCGAAAUUACUUCUUAUCCCAAUGGCUCGAUUAAAAGAAUCACAAAGCUGCAAGUGACAGAGCCUCCAGCAUCAGUGAAGAUGCCAUAUCCAUAUGGAUUCAUAAAAGAGGGAGAUGAAUUGAAAAUAACUUGUUCAGCGAUCCCUCCACCACUCCAUUAUAAACUUGGAAGGUCAAAGGACAAGACAUUUUGGCUGGAAAGCUCAAACGGAGAGUUCAUUUUACCAAACGUCACCAGAAACGACAGCGAUGUGUACAUCUGUUUACCUGAAUGGGACUCGUUAGUCCGAAAUCAGCAAGGUCUCAAUGCCACCGUCGAACUGACUGUGAAUUUUCUUGAUGGCAUUGAGUGUAACACAAGCAGCCCUUUAAAUGUCAGUGCUGGUGAGGAUGUGGUGAUUUCUUGUAUCGCAAAAGCUUCACAGCACUUGCAGUAUAAGUGGAUGAGGGGUGACACAACACUGUCUCUUUUAGACACUUUGUCUCUGACCUCCGUAACAUCUGACCAGUCAGGAACAUACAAACUGACAGCUGUCUUUCUGGACAAUCAGCUCCAGACAGACAUGGAGAUUUCUAUCCAUGUUCUCUCAAAGCAAAGCGAAGCCUCAAAAAGCUCAGCGUAUAUCGCUGUCCCGAUUGUGUUGCUGUUGCUCGGGUCGAAUGUGCUUUAAUACAGAAGACACCAGAACCAAAAAAAAAUGGAUAUGCCACCUCCAUUGAAACACUUCAGUGAGGAACCAUGAUGUCCCUAUGACGGAUAUUCUAGAAUCUAGUGUAUCAAGCACUUGAGAACCCACAAACCGUGGGCCACAAACAUGCUGACAGGAAGAUUUCUCCCUAAAGGCCAUGGAUUACUCAUCCUCACGAAGUUUCGUUCAUUUUCAAAACACAAAUUGAUAUAUUUUUAAUAAAACCUGAGAAUUUUCCUUCCUGCCUUUGAAAGUCCACGCAACCAAUACUUUGAUGCUUCAAAAAGUUCAUGAAGGUCAUAUGAAUCACCCAGUUUAAUUAAAUUUUAAUGUAAGCUUUUGUUCACAUAUAAACAUUUAUUAGUAGGCCUACAUAAACGACAUCAAAUAUUUUGUAAAAUAUGUUUGUCAUUUUUAUUUUUGUGUGAAUUAACUUUUUACCGUUUUAUUUUGUUAUAUUUUUGGUUAUUAUAAAAUCAUGUUUUAUGUGGUUUGAAGUCCUUUUACUCUGGUCUCUGUAUGAUGAUUUAUUAGUAGGCCUA
rnacentral:lncRNA from 1 species